rnacentral:rRNA from 1 species
CCUACGGGUGGCAGCAGUCGAGAAUCAUUCACAAUGGGGGAAACCCUGAUGGUGCGACGCCGCGUGGGGGAAUGAAGGUCUUCGGAUUGUAAACCCCUGUCAUGUGGGAGCAAAUUAAAAAGAUAGUACCACAAGAGGAAGAGACGGCUAACUCUGUGCCAGCAGCCGCGGUAAUACAGAGGUCUCAAGCGUUGUUCGGAAUCACUGGGCGUAAAGCGUGCGUAGGCUGUUUCGUAAGUCGUGUGUGAAAGGCGCGGGCUCAACCCGCGGACGGCACAUGAUACUGCGAGACUAGAGUAAGGGAGGGGGAACCGGAAUUCUCGGUGUAGCAGGGAAAUGCGUAGAUAUCGAGAGGAACACUCGUGGCGAAGGCGGGUUCCUGGACAUUAACUGACGCUGAGGCACGAAGGCCAGGGGAGCGAAAGGGAUUAGAUACCCGGGUAGUC